rnacentral:ribozyme from 1 species
UGCUGUCGCAACUCCUAUUCCUACCUCCACGUGGUGCCGACCGGGGUACAGGGGGCAAUGGGACCCUUGUACGCUAACAGGAAAGG